rnacentral:rRNA from 1 species
UUGACUGUGCUAAGGUAGCAUAAUAAAUUGGCUUUUAAUUGAAGUCGGGAAUGAAAGGGUGUUUGGAGUUACUCUGUCUUAUUUUUAUUUUUUAAAAAUUACUAAUGAGGUGAAAAUUCCUCAAUAUUAUUUGAUAGACGAGAAGACCCUAAGAAUUAUUACAAUUAUUAAAAAAUUAAUAAAAGUUUUUGUUGGGGCAACAACUUUGAAAAAUAACCAAAGUUUAAAUUUACUAUAAAAUAAAAAGAUUAUAUUAAAAAUGAAUUUANUUNCCUUAGGNAUAACAGCNUANUUAUNUUUNAGAUUGUGACCUCGAUGUUGGAUUAAGGCCU